rnacentral:tRNA from 1 species
UCCCUGGCGGCUCAGAUGGUAAAGCAUCUGCCUACAAUGCAGGAGACUUGGGUUCAAUCCCUAGGUUGGGAA